GGGACACGUGGUAUCCUGUCUGAAUAUGGGGGGACCAUCCUCCAAGGCUAAAUACUCCUGACUGACCGAUAGUGAACCAGUACCGUGAGGGAAAGGCGAAAAGAACCCCGGCGAGGGGAGUGAAAAAGAACCUGAAACCGUGUACGUACAAGCAGUGGGAGCACGCUUAGGCGUGUGACUGCGUACCUUUUGUAUAAUGGGUCAGCGACUUAUAUUCUGUAGCAAGGUUAACCGAAUAGGGGAGCCGAAGGGAAACCGAGUCUUAACUGGGCGUUAAGUUGCAGGGUAUAGACCCGAAACCCGGUGAUCUAGCCAUGGGCAGGUUGAAGGUUGGGUAACACUAACUGGAGGACCGAACCGACUAAUGUUGAAAAAUUAGCGGAUGACUUGUGGCUGGGGGUGAAAGGCCAAUCAAACCGGGAGAUAGCUGGUUCUCCCCGAAAGCUAUUUAGGUAGCGCCUCGUGAAUUCAUCUCCGGGGGUAGAGCACUGUUUCGGCAAGGGGGUCAUCCCGACUUACCAACCCGAUGCAAACUGCGAAUACCGGAGAAUGUUAUCACGGGAGACACACGGCGGGUGCUAACGUCCGUCGUGAAGAGGGAAACAACCCAGACCGCCAGCUAAGGUCCCAAAGUCAUGGUUAAGUGGGAAACGAUGUGGGAAGGCCCAGACAGCCAGGAUGUUGGCUUAGAAGCAGCCAUCAUUUAAAGAAAGCGUAAUAGCUCACUGGUCGAGUCGGCCUGCGCGGAAGAUGUAACGGGGCUAAACCAUGCACCGAAGCUGCGGCAGCGACGCUUAUGCGUUGUUGGGUAGGGGAGCGUUCUGUAAGCCUGUGAAGGUGUGCUGUGAGGCAUGCUGGAGGUAUCAGAAGUGCGAAUGCUGACAUAAGUAACGAUAAAGCGGGUGAAAAGCCCGCUCGCCGGAAGACCAAGGGUUCCUGUCCAACGUUAAUCGGGGCAGGGUGAGUCGACCCCUAAGGCGAGGCCGAAAGGCGUAGUCGAUGGGAAACAGGUUAAUAUUCCUGUACUUGGUGUUACUGCGAAGGGGGGACGGAG
rnacentral:rRNA from 1 species